rnacentral:rRNA from 1 species
AGGUAAGACCUGCCCGAUGUAAUUAUCAAUGGCCGCGGUAUUCUGACCGUGCGAAGGUAGCAUAAUCAUUAGUCUCCUAAUUAGAGGCUGGUAUGAAUGGUCAAACGAGAAAAUAGCUGUCUCUCACGCAAUAAUCGAAUUUCAUUUUUAAGUGAAAAAGCUUAAAUUAAUCUGAAGGACGAUAAGACCCUAUAGAGCUUUACUUCAACAAAAUACAAACUACCUAGAAAUUAUAACUAUUAUUUAGUAGAAGUUACGUUGGGGCGACGACAAGACAACAAAUAACUCUUCAUUUUUCUAACAACAAAGAUUGAAAAAUUGAUCCUUUAAGCAAGAUCAAAUGAACAAGUUACCUUAGGGAUAACAGCGUAAUCCUUUUUAAGAGUUCUCAUCAACAAAAGGGUUUGCGACCUCGAUGUUGGAUUAAGAGUUCACCAAGGUGCAGCAGCUUUGGAGGAUGGUCUGUUCGACCUUUAAUCUCUUAC